AUACGGGACUCAUCCGAGGCCCCGUAAUCGGAAUGAGUACACUUUAAAUCCUUUAACGAGGAUCUAUUAGAGGGCCAGUCUGGUGCCAGCAGCCGCGAUAAAUUCCAGCUCUAAUAGCGUAUAUUAAAGUUGUUGCGGUUAAAAAGCUCGUAGUUGAAUCUGUGUCCCACACUGUCGGUUCACCGCUCGCGGUGUUCAACAGGCAUGUCUGUGGGACGUCCUACCGGUGGGCUUCGCCCGUAAAAAGGCGGCCCAACUCAAAAUCCUACCAAGGUGCUCUUCACCGAGUGUCGAGGUGGGCCGGUACGUUUACUUUGAACAAAUUAGAGUGCUUAAAGCAGGCUCAUUCGCCUGAAUAUUGUGUGCAUGGAAUAAUGGAAUAGGACCUCGGUUCUAUUUUGUUGGUUUUCGGAAUUCCGAGGUAAUGAUUAAUAGGGACAACUGGGGCAUUCGUAUUGCGACGUUAGAGGUGAAAUUCUUGGAUCGUCGCAAGACGGACAGAAGCGAAAGCAUUUGCCAAAUGUGUUUUCAUCAAUCAAGAACGAAAGUUAGAGGUUCGAAGGCGAUCAGAUACCGCCCUAGUUCUAACCAUAAACGAUGCAGCUAGUGAUCCGCCGAAGUUCCUCCGAUGACUCGGCGGGCAGCUUCCAGGAAACCAAAGCUUUGGGUUCCGGGGAAGUAUGGUUGCAAAGCUGAAACUUAAAGGAAUUGACGGAAGGGCACUACAAGGAGUGGAGCCUGCGGCUUAAUUUGACUCAACACGGGAAACCUCACCAGGUCCAGACACCGGAAGGAUUGACAGAUUGAGAGCUCUUUCUUGAUUCGGUGGGUGGUGGUGCAUGGCCAUUCUUAGUUGGUGGAGUGAUUUGUCUGGUUAAUUCUGAUAACGAACGAGACUCCAGCCUGCUAAAUAGACGUACUUUCUGGUAUCGCAAAGACCCUCCGCUUCGGCUUCGGUCGUUGUUGGUUGUGGUUCUCACUACCGGCGUACAAAUAUAUCUUCUUAGAGGGACAGGCGGCAUUUAGUCGCACGAAAUUGAGCAAUAACAGGUCUGUGAUGCCCUUAGAUGUUCUGGGCAGCACGCGCGCUACACUGAAGAGAUCAGCAGGUUUUCCUUGGCCGAAAGGUCCGGGUAAUCCGUUGAAGCCUCUUCGUGCUAGGGAUUGGGGCUUGCAAUUCUUCCCCAUGAACGAGGAAUUCCUAGUAAGCGCGAGUCAUAAGCUUGCGUUGAUUAUGUCCCUGCCCUUUGUACACACCGCCCGUCGCUACUACCGAUUGAAUUAUUUAGUGAGGUCUUCGGACCGGUGCGCGGCAGCGUUUCGACAUUGCCGAUGUUGCUGGGAAGAUAACCGAACUUGAUUAUUUAGAGGAAGUAAAAGUCGUAACAAGGUUUCCGUAGGUGAACCUGCGGAAG
rnacentral:rRNA from 1 species